CGCGACGGUGCGUACGACCGUAACCAACCUACCCACAACUGGGGGAUAGCCCGCCGAAAGGCGGAUUAAUACCGCAUAAGCUCUGAACCUGGCAUCAGGUUUUUAGUAAAGAUUUAUUGGUUGUGGAUGGGGUUGCGUGCAAUUAGCUAGUUGGUGAGGUAACGGCUCACCAAGGCGACGAUGGCUAGGGGAGCUGAGAGGCUGGUCCCCCACACGGGCACUGAGAUACGGGCCCG
rnacentral:rRNA from 1 species